CUCUCUCCCUCUCUCUUCUUUUCCUGCCCCCCACCUUCUCUCUCCCUCUCCCCUCCUCCGUCUCUGGGUCUCUGUCUCUCCUCCCUCUGGCGAUCUCUCCCCUCCCACCCGAACCUCCCACUUCUCAACAUCCAACUUUCAAAGAAACGAGGGAAAAAAAAGAGCGCGAACGAGGAAGGCGAGGCGCUCCCCUCAUGCCUCAUGAACCCCAUUAUUGCUACGAAUUUCUAGCCGCUGGGCUCCGAGCACCGGAUGGGGACCCGCGGCCGAACGCAAUACCGAUGCACAGUAGUGUGGACCAUUUGGAGCCAGCCACCGCGUGUCCAUCUGUGGGGGGCCAGUGGGCACGGGCUGGGAUACUAUGCAGCUCCACGGAAGAACAAGGCGCUCCUACAUGGGGACAUCUCCAGGAGACAGACAUCUGGGGAAAGUGAGGUCUGGACCAGAUUCCUUCUCCCACUACAUGCCAGGAACACCCCCAGCGUGACAGUCACAGAUGCCCCCAGACACUGCCCAUUGUCCCACGGGGGCAAAACUACCCUGGUUGAGAACUUUUGUUGUAGACUCAGCCAGAAGAGUCAAGAUCUCAUUUAGGAUUUUUUUUAAAAAAAGAAUAUACAUGUAUCCUUUAUGGUAUAAGAUAUAAAUGUAAGCUUUAUAAGAAUA